rnacentral:rRNA from 1 species
UGGGGAAUCUUCCGCAAUGGACGAAAGUCUGACGGAGCAACGCCGCGUGAGUGAAGACGGCCUUCGGGUUGUAAAGCUCUGUGAUCCGGGACGAAAGAGCCUGAGGUGAAUAGCCUAAGGAAGUGACGGUACCGGAAAAGCAAGCCACGGCUAACUACGUGCCAGCAGCCGCGGUAAUACGUAGGUGGCAAGCGUUGUCCGGAAUUAUUGGGCGUAAAGCGCGCGCAGGCGACUUCCUAAGUCCAUCUUAAAAGUGCGGGGCUUAACCCCGUGAUGGGAUGGAAACUGGGAAGCUGGAGUAUCGGAGAGGAAAGUGGAAUUCCUAGUGUAGCGGUGAAAUGCGUAGAGAUUAGGAAGAACACCGGUGGCGAAGGCGACUUUCUGGACGAAAACUGACGCUGAGGCGCGAAAGCGUGGGGAGCAAACAGG